GACGAACGCUGGCGGCGUGCUUAACACAUGCAAGUCGAACGGAAAGGCCCCUUUCGGGGGGUACUCGAGUGGCGAACGGGUGAGUAACACGUGGGUGAUCUGCCCUGCACUUCGGGAUAAGCUUGGGAAACUGGGUCUAAUACCGGAUAGGACCACAUGUCGCAUGGUGUGUGGUGGAAAGCUUUUGCGGUGUGGGAUGGGCCCGCGGCCUAUCAGCUUGUUGGUGGGGUGAUGGCCUACCAAGGCGACGACGGGUAGCCGGCCUGAGAGGGUGUCCGGCCACACUGGGACUGAGAUACGGCCCAGACUCCUACGGGAGGCAGCAGUGGGGAAUAUUGCACAAUGGGCGCAAGCCUGAUGCAGCGACGCCGCGUGGGGGAUGACGGCCUUCGGGUUGUAAACCUCUUUCACCAUCGACGAAGCUGCGGGUUUUCUCGUGGUGACGGUAGGUGGAGAAGAAGCACCGGCCAACUACGUGCCAGCAGCCGCGGUAAUACGUAGGGUGCGAGCG
rnacentral:rRNA from 1 species